rnacentral:rRNA from 1 species
GAUGAACGCUGGUGGCGUGCCUAAUACAUGCAAGUCGAGCGAACGGACGAGAAGCUUGCUUCUCUGAUGUUAGCGGCGGACGGGUGAGUAACACGUGGAUAACCUACCUAUAAGACUGGGAUAACUUCGGGAAACCGUAGCUAAUACCGGAUAAUAUUUUGAACCGCAUGGUUCAAAAGUGAAAGACGGUCUUGCUGUCACUUAUAGAUGGAUCCGCGCUGCAUUAGCUAGUUGGUAAGGUAACGGCUUACCAAGGCAACGAUGCAUAGCCGACCUGAGAGGGUGAUCGGCCACACUGGAACUGAGACACGGUCCAGACUCCUACGGGAGGCAGCAGUAGGGAAUCUUCCGCAAUGGGCGAAAGCCUGACGGAGCAACGUCGCGUGAGUGAUGAAGGUCUUCGGAUCGUAAAACUCUGUUAUUAGGGAAGAACAUAUGUGUAAGUAACUGUGCACAUCUUGACGGUACCUAAUCAGAAAGCCACGGCUAACUACGUG